rnacentral:rRNA from 1 species
AUUGAACGCUGGCGGCAUGCCUUACACAUGCAAGUCGAACGGUAACGGGCCUUCGGGUGCCGACGAGUGGCGAACGGGUGAGUAAUACAUCGGAACGUGCCCGAUCGUGGGGGAUAACGAGGCGAAAGCUUUGCUAAUACCGCAUACGAUCUACGGAUGAAAGCAGGGGACCGCAAGGCCUUGCGCGGACGGAGCGGCCGAUGGCAGAUUAGGUAGUUGGUGGGAUAAAAGCUUACCAAGCCGACGAUCUGUAGCUGGUCUGAGAGGAUGAUCAGCCACACUGGGAGUGAGACACGGCCCAGACUCCUACGGGAGGCAGCAGUGGGGAAUUUUGGACAAUGGGCGCGAGCCUGAUCCAGCCAUGCCGCGUGCAGGAUGAAGGCCUUCGGGUUGGAAACUGCUGUUGUACGGAACGAAAAGCCUUCUUUUAAUACAGGAGGGUCAUGACGGUACCGUAAGAAUAAGCACCGGCUAACUACGUG